CACGUACCGUCGCUAUUGUGACGAUGCAGUCGACGAUGAACCUCACUUGUGGGGGGAUUAGUGGCGAACGGGUGAGUAACACGUGAGUAACCUGCCCUUAACUCUGGGAUAAGCCUGGGAAACUGGGUCUAAUACCGGAUAUGACUCCUCAUCGCAUGGUGGGGGGUGGAAAGCUUUAUUGUGGUUUUGGAUGGACUCGCGGCCUAUCAGCUUGUUGGUGAGGUAAUGGCUCACCAAGGCGACGACGGGUAGCCGGCCUGAGAGGGUGACCGGCCACACUGGGACUGAGACACGGCCCAGACUCCUACGGGAGGCAGCAGUGGGGAAUAUUGCACAAUGGGCGAAAGCCUGAUGCAGCGACGCCGCGUGAGGGAUGACGGCCUUCGGGUUGUAAACCUCUUUCAGUAGGGAAGAAGCGAAAGUGACGGUACCUGCAGAAGAAGCGCCGGCUAACUACGUGCCAGCAGCCGCGGUAUACGUAGGGCGCAAGCGUUAUCCGGAAUUAUUGGGCGUAAAGAGCUCGUAGGCGGUUUGUCGCGUCUGCCGUGAAAGUCCGGGGCUCAACUCCGGAUCUGCGGUGGGUACGGGCAGACUAGAGUGAUGUAGGGGAGACUGGAAUUCCUGGUGUAGCGGUGAAAUGCGCAGAUAUCAGGAGGAACACCGAUGGCGAAGGCAGGUCUCUGGGCAUUAACUGACGCUGAGGAGCGAAAGCAUGGGGAGCGAACAGGAUUAGAUACCCUGGUAGUCCAUGCCGUAAACGUUGGGCACUAGGUGUGGGGGACAUUCCACGUUUUCCGCGCCGUAGCUAACGCAUUAAGUGCCCCGCCUGGGGAGUACGGCCGCAAGGCUAAAACUCAAAGGAAUUGACGGGGGCCCGCACAAGCGGCGGAGCAUGCGGAUUAUUCGAUGCAACGCGAAGAACCUUACCAAGGCUUGACAUGAACCGGAAAUACCUGGAAACAGGUGCCCCGCUUGCGGUCGGUUUACAGGUGGUGCAUGGUUGUCGUCAGCUCGUGUCGUGAGAUGUUGGGUUAAGUCCCGCAACGAGCGCAACCCUCGUUCUAUGUUGCCAGCGCGUUAUGGCGGGGACUCAUAGGAGACUGCCGGGGUCAACUCGGAGGAAGGUGGGGACGACGUCAAAUCAUCAUGCCCCUUAUGUCUUGGGCUUCACGCAUGCUACAAUGGCCGGUACAAAGGGUUGCGAUACUGUGAGGUGGAGCUAAUCCCAAAAAGCCGGUCUCAGUUCGGAUUGGGGUCUGCAACUCGACCCCAUGAAGUCGGAGUCGCUAGUAAUCGCAGAUCAGCAACGCUGCGGUGAAUACGUUCCCGGGCCUUGUACACACCGCCCGUCAAGUCACGAAAGUUGGUAACAC
rnacentral:rRNA from 1 species